rnacentral:rRNA from 1 species
UACGUAGGCAGCGAGCGUUGUUCGGAAUUACUGGGCGUAAAGAGUGUGUAGGCGGUGCUCUAAGUUCGGUGUGAAAUCUCCUGGCUUAACUGGGAGGGUGCGCCGGAAACUGGGGUGCUCGAGCGUGGGAGAGGAAAGCGGAAUUCCUGGUGUAGCGGUGAAAUGCGUAGAUAUCAGGAGGAACACCUGUGGUGCAGACAGCUUUCUGGACCAUUGCUGACGCUGAGACACGAAAGCGUGGGUAGCAAACAGG